rnacentral:rRNA from 1 species
AGGUAAGCUACUAAGAGCGAAUGGUGGAUGCCUUGACUGGUAAAGGCGAUGAAGGACGUACUAGACUGCGAUAAGCUACGGGGAGCUGUCAAGAAGCUUUGAUCCGUAGAUUUCCGAAUGGGGCAACCCAAUGUAUAGAGAUAUACAUUACCUAUAUAGGAGCGAACGAGGGGAAUUGAAACAUCUUAGUACCCUCAGGAAAAGAAAUCAAUAGAGAUUGCGUCAGUAGCGGCGAGCGAAAGCGCAAGAGGGCAAACCCAGUGCUUGCACUGGGGGUUGUAGGACUGCAAUGUGCAAGAGCUGAGUUUAGCAGAACAUUCUGGAAAGUAUAGCCAUAGAGGGUGAUAGUCCCGUAUGCGAAAAACAAAGCUUAGCUAGCAGUAUCCUGAGUAGGGCGGGACACGAGGAAUCCUGUCUGAAUCCGGGUCGACCACGAUCCAACCCUAAAUACUAAUACCAGAUCGAUAGUGCACAAGUACCGUGAGGGAAAGGUGAAAAGAACUGAGGUGAUCAGAGUGAAAUAGAACCUGAAACCAUUUGCUUACAAUCAUUCAGAGCACUAUGUAGCAAUACAGUGUGAUGGACUGCCUUUUGCAUAAUGAGCCUGCGAGUUGUGGUGUCUGGCAAGGUUAAGCAAACGCGAAGCCGUAGCGAAAGCGAGUCUGAAUAGGGCGCUUAGUCAGAUGCUGCAGACCCGAAACGAAGUGAUCUAUCCAUGAGCAAGUUGAAGCUAGUGUAAGAACUAGUGGAGGACUGAACCCAUAGGCGUUGAAAAGCCCCGGGAUGACUUGUGGAUAGGGGUGAAAGGCCAAUCAAACUUCGUGAUAGCUGGUUCUCUCCGAAAUAUAUUUAGGUAUAGCGUUGUGUCGUAAUAUAAGGGGGUAGAGCACUGAAUGGGCUAGGGCAUACACCAAUGUACCAAACCCUAUCAAACUCCGAAUACCUUAUAUGUAAUCACAGCAGUCAGGCGGCGAGUGAUAAAAUCCGUCGUCAAGAGGGAAACAACCCAGACUACCAGCUAAGGUCCCUAAAUCUUACUUAAGUGGAAAACGAUGUGAAGUUACUUAAACAACCAGGAGGUUGGCUUAGAAGCAGCCAUCCUUUAAAGAAAGCGUAAUAGCUCACUGGUCUAGUGAUUUUGCGCGGAAAAUAUAACGGGGCUAAAGUAAGUACCGAAGCUGUAGACUUGCACACAACUUAGAUUAUUUAAGUUUAGAAUAUGAGAAACUAAGUUAUAUGUUUAGUUAUAUUUUUACUGAUUUUUAUAGAGUAAAGAUAGAAAUAAAACUUAGUAAAAUCAGUAAAAAUAUUCUUAGGCUAAAGUUAAGUAGUUUAAGUUGUGUGCAAGUGGUAGGAGAGCGUUCUAUUUGCGUCGAAGGUAUACCGGUAAGGAGUGCUGGAGCGAAUAGAAGUGAGCAUGCAGGCAUGAGUAGCGAUAAUUAAUGUGAGAAUCAUUAACGCCGUAAACCCAAGGUUUCCUACGCGAUGCUCGUCAUCGUAGGGUUAGUCGGGUCCUAAGUCGAGUCCGAAAGGGGUAGACGAUGGCAAAUUGGUUAAUAUUCCAAUACCAACAUUAGUGUGCGAUGGAAGGACGCUUAGGGCUAAGGGGGCUAGCGGAUGGAAGUGCUAGUCUAAGGUUGUAGGAGGUUAUACAGGCAAAUCCGUAUAACAAUACUCCGAGAACUGAAAGGCUUUUUGAAGUCUUCGGAUGGAUAGAAGAACCCCUGAUGCCGUCGAGCCAAGAAAAGUUUCUAAGUUUAGCUAAUGUUGCCCGUACCGUAAACCGACACAGGUGGGUGGGAUGAGUAUUCUAAGGCGCGUGGAAGAACUCUCUUUAAGGAACUCUGCAAAAUAGCACCGUAUCUUCGGUAUAAGGUGUGGUUAGCUUCGUACUAGGAUUUACUCCGAAAGCGAAGAAACUUACAACAAAGAGUCCCUCCCGACUGUUUACCAAAAACACAGCACUCUGCUAACUCGUAAGAGGAUGUAUAGGGUGUGACGCCUGCCCGGUGCUCGAAGGUUAAUUGAUGGGGUUAGCAUUAGCGAAGCUCUUGAUCGAAGCCCGAGUAAACGGCGGCCGUAACUAUAACGGUCCUAAGGUAGCGAAAUUCCUUGUCGGUUAAAUACCGACCUGCAUGAAUGGCGUAACGAGAUGGGAGCUGUCUCAAAGAGGGAUCCAGUGAAAUUGUAGUGGAGGUGAAAAUUCCUCCUACCCGCGGCAAGACGGAAAGACCCCGUGGACCUUUACUACAGCUUGACACUGCUAUUUGGAUAAGAAUGUGCAGGAUAGGUGGGAGGCUUUGAGUAUAUGACGCCAGUUGUAUAUGAGCCAUUGUUGAGAUACCACUCUUUCUUAUUUGGGUAGCUAACCAGCUUGAGUUAUCCUCAAGUGGGACAAUGUCUGGUGGGUAGUUUGACUGGGGCGGUCGCCUCCCAAAUAAUAACGG